UACGUAGGGUGCAAGCGUUGUCCGGAUUCAUUGGGCGUAAAGAGCGUGUAGGCGGCCUGGUAGGUCGGUUGUGAAAACUCGAGGCUCAACCUCGAGACGUCGACCGAAACCACCUGGCUAGAGUCCGGAAGAGGAGAGUGGAAUUCCUGGUGUAGCGGUGAAAUGCGCAGAUAUCAGGAAGAACACCCGUGGCGAAGGCGGCUCUCUGGGACGGUACUGACGCUGAGACGCGAAAGCGUGGGGAGCGAACAGG
rnacentral:rRNA from 1 species